rnacentral:sRNA from 1 species
ACAAAAAUUAAGCGACAGAUAACAAGAUGCAGUAAACAACAGUAGAGCAAACAAAGAAUUCAAUCAGAUAAAGAAUUCCCAAGGAUGGGGUAAUUGAGUAGUUUCGUUUCCUCAGUUUACAGGUGAUUGACAUGCUCAAUAAAUUAACCCUAGACAACAAGUUCAUUAACCAAAUCUAAGUGCCACCGCAACCGAGACUAUCAAGUUAACCUAGUCCCAGACUCAAUCACCAUUGACGAGAGCUAACCUAACAAGCAUUACGAAUCAACAAGUUAAAGCCAAAACGCUCCCUGCAACCAAUACCUUGGUGCAGGGUCACGAAUCUCUGGAAUUAGUGGUUCAGAAAUUUCAUCGAACACUUUUUGGGUGCGGAAAUGUCUGGGCUCAAAUUCGAGUUGAUCAGAAAGCAAUAGGCAUUAAGAACAACUAAUCGAGAAGGGAUCUAUCAAUCAAUACUCAAUCACCUAGCAUACUGAGAAUUCUACACUACUCUAACCCAUCCUCAGAAACCUAUUCACUACUCAGACAUCAUAACAGAAAGCAUUAACGUUGAACAAGUUGAAAACAUGAUAACAACAGUGUAACAGCAGGAUGAUAAGAGAAUGAACAACAGUAAAUGAAAUCAAGAACAAAAGCUGAAUACUGAAUACUGAAUUGAUUAAGAGAAAUCCGGAUUACAAAAGGUAUAGAACACAAGGUCUGCGGAAUAAAACUAGAUAAAAACUUUGCUGCGAAAAUGUGAAGUACAUGCUACUUAUAGCCAAAUAUUCCGAAACCCUAAUACUUAAAACGACGAAGUAUUAGGACGGAUUAAGAACUGUACUCGACCCAUGUGGUCGAGUGGGAGGUCGAGUGAAUAGCUGGAGUCUUCUUUUCUUCCUUGUGCUCGAGUGUCUGGUUGAGUGCGGAAUGAAGAAGGCUUUGAAGCUUGUCAUCGAGUAUGCAGUCGAGUGGUGGUGAUGGUGAUACUCGACUUCCAGGUAGAGUGAUGAGGUCGAGUAGUGGUCUGGCAAUAAAGGUGAAGACACUCGGCCUCGGGGUCGAGUGAUGUGAUCGAGUGAUGGUCAGGUGAUGGGAUGAAGACACUCGACCUCGGGGUCGACUGAUGUGGUGAAGUAGUGAUGUCCUCUACUCGACCAGGGGGUCGAGUUAUCUGUUAAGAUCUUGAAGCUCCUACUCGACCUCGUGGUCGAGUGGUUUGACAUGAUCAGGCCCGCAUCUUCCAGAUAGCUCGUCAACAGCUCCAAAUCACCUGAAAUCAACGCAAAUAUGCAACAUGCAUACAAAUCUAUCCUAAACAUGUAAAGUGAUAACAAAUGAUGAGAUUGUAUAAAACAGUGAUGAUAUGAUGUUAAAGUGAUGACAAACGGAUGCUCAAAACAUGCAAAAUACACACUUAUCAAACAUAUUUAGUAGGAGUAUCAUAAAAAAUCUCUGAUAAUAAACAAAUAUUAUAAAUAAUACUAAA